GCGCAUGACUCACCAGCCGCAGGCCCUCGUGGAUGUCGCGCCAUGCGGCCAGCAGGAAUGCAAGAGGU
rnacentral:snoRNA from 1 species